rnacentral:rRNA from 1 species
UGAAUACGAGAUGCUACGGCGUCGAAGCAGUCUAUGUCAUACUUCCAAGAAAAGCUUGCACUGUCAUAAACAAAUAAUGCCUGUACCAUAACCGACACAGGUGGGUAGGUAGAGUAUACUAAGGGGCGCGAGAUAACUCUCUCUAAGGAACUCGGCAAAAUGACUCCGUAACUUCGGGAGAAGGAGUGCCUUAUUUAUAAGGUUGCAAUAACAAGAUCCAAGCAACUGUUUACCAAAAACACAGGUCUCCGCUAAGUCGUAAGACGAUGUAUGGGGGCUGACGCCUGCCCAGUGCCAGAAGGUUAAAGAAGUUGGUUAGCAUCCGCGAAGCUGAUAACUGAAGCCCUGGUGAACGGCGGCCGUAACGAUAACGGUCCUAAGGUAGCGAAAUUCCUUGUCGGGUAAGUUCCGACCCGCACGAAAGGCGUAAUGAUUUGGAUACUGUCUCGGAGAGGGGCUCGGUGAAAUAGACUUGUCUGUGAAGAUGCGGACUACCUGCACCAGGACAGAAAGACCCUAUGAAGCUUUACUGUAACCUGAAAUUGAAAUUGGACUUUACUUGCGCAGUAUAGGUGGGAGGCGUUGAGAAUAUUCUUGCGGGAUUAUUGGAGCCAUCAGUGAGAUACCACUCUUGUAAUGUUAGAUUUCUAACUUUGUAUCAUUAUCUGGUCAAAGAACAGUUUCAGGCGGGCAGUUUGACUGGGGCGGUCGCCUCCUAAACGGUAACGGAGGCGCACAAAGGUUUCCUCUGAACGGGUAGAAAUCGUAUCUAGAGUGUAAAGGCAUAAGGAAGCUUGACUGUGAGACCUACAAGUCGAGCAGGGACGAAAGUCGGUCUUAGUGAUCUGACGGUGCUGAGUGGAAAGGCCGUCACUCAACGGAUAAAAGUUACUCUAAGGAUAACAGGCUGAUCUCCCCCAAGAGUUCACAUCGACGGGGAGGUUUGGCACCUCGAUGUCGGCUCAUCGCAUCCUGGGGCGGUAGUACGUCCCAAGGGUUGGGCUGUUCGCCCAUGAAAGCGGUACGCGAGCUGGGUUCAGAACGUCGUGAGACAGUUCGGUCCAUAUCCGGUGUAGGCGUUAGAAUAUUGAGAGGAGCCUUCUUUAGUACGAGAGGACCGAGAAGGACAUACCUCUGGUGUACCAGUUAUCGUGCCAACGGUAAACGCUGGGUAGCUAUGUGUGGAGUGGAUAACCGCUGAAAGCAUCUAAGUGGGAAGCCCACCUCAAGAUAAGUAUUCUCAU